ACUGUUCAUUCUCUUUCCGGCCAGUCUGGGUCUGUAAAGACAUGCUGCCUGAACCAAAUGCCAAGUCCUGCCUGUUGCUCUCAAAUCUUCUUGGGAACCCCAGAACCUGAUGUUCUGAAUGACGGUAUUGAGAAGUUUCCAGCGUCUUCUAUCACGCCUCUGCCAAGAUGCACAGCCUCGUGUGGCUCUGGCUCUGGGGACCUGCUCGGAUGAUCGUCACCCCAUAAGAUGCGAGCUUCUCCAGGUCAGGACUGGGCACGCGUGGCACAAAGAUGCCCAGCAGAAAGGCUCCCAGCUUCUCCCCGACUGCCCCGAUACUCAGGCCAAAAUCAUCAGCGUCUCAUAAUUGCAGCACACUUUUCUAAGGGGAUUUUCUCUAACAGGAAAGCAGCAGAGCGUCACCUUUCUCUGUGUUGGACGCACGGUGGCCUGACGAUGCUCACGGCCGGUUUCCCUGCUCAGCUCUGAAAUUCAACAGUAAACUGAAGUGGGGGCUGGACCAGCCACGUGAGGUCCAUGGAAUGAACCGUGUCCUGCUCUCAGCAGUGAACCCAGCCCUGAAGUGACCACUCCGGGCAGCUGGGAGUGCUUCCUGGGCCUGGACUUGCUGAUCUUCCGUGACCAGGGUGAUGCAGAGACGCAACCCCUGGGUGCUGAGCCCAGCACGGACACUGGGCCUUGGGUGGAGGAACAGAUCCCCCCAUGCCAGCCGCGAGCCACCUCGGGGGGCCUGUCGGCUGGGGGACAGCAGGCAUCAGGAAGCAGCGGUGGUCGUGGGUGGUUGGGGUACCAGGAGGGGCAUGGCCAGCUCCUGCACCCCAACACAGGCCACUCCCGGGACAGACCGGGGCGCUCCCGGGGGGGGCUGGUCUGCAGCCUGCAGCCCCUCAGAUCCAGGGCCUGCCCCUGGUCAACGGCCAGUCCCGCCAUCUCUCAGCCCAGUGCCAGCUGGACGCACGAGUCCUACGGCCCCAUCGUGGAGGGCCCAUAGCAGGUCAAGUGAGAGAAACCACCGGCCUCCCGAGAACGCCUUGUGCUCCUGGAAACCAGGCUCGGUGCCGGGGCACCUCCUCUUGCCAGGCUGGAAGCUCUCCCAGGCGGCCCCACAAAGCCACCAGGUGAAGCAGAAUCCAGGUGUAGGGCAGGUAUUUGCCAUGUGUUUCUCCUUGUUAUCAUAUUUUAAUGCACUUACUACACAAACAAGAAUAUGUGUAAUGGGGUCACAAAGCCUAAUCAUACGUCAAAUGCCCAUUAACAAAACACUCAACUUCAGAAGGAGCAGAGGACCCAACCUCGAGCCUGCCAGCAGAUGUGUGACCAUGUCUUGAAAUUCAGGGCACUUUGGAGCCGGUCUGUGUCCUCUUCGUGGGUCCCUGGCUUGGGCUGGGAAGGACUUCAUUCGCCGUGGGCAGACCUUCCUGACAGGAGGGCUGGAGCUUAAGAAAAUCUCUGUCUUACCACCACAUGGUUACAGAAGCAGGACACAGACAUCCCAAGGAGUAAUCCCCAGAGCUAACAUUUUAAAAUAUGAAAAUGUACAGAGUGAAACAAAAGAAUACAAGACAAACAAAGAAACAGGAAAUGAUGGCCCAUCCAGAGAAGAAGCAUGAAAAUACAGAAAACACCAAGAAGAAUGUAGACAUACCAAAAAAGCCUUUAAAACAAUGAUCUUAAAAAUGCUUAAGGAGAAGGAUGGAAGUAUAGAGAAAGAAAUACACAGUAUCAGGAAAACAAUGAACAAUAUAAGAGUCUAUAUAGAUAUCUUUUUAGGCUUUAGUGUAUUGGAAUAGCUAAAAGUAAAUAUCUGAAACCGUCAAACUGCAACACAGUAG